ACUCCUUCCCUGCCUUUCCUACCUAUCACUCUCGUGCUGAAAGUUGGAGCUCCUUACCCAAAGACUGGGCGGAAAGGGUGACCGCCCUGGACCCCUGCCCGACUUCCCGUUAGGCCAAGCCGCUGUCCUGAAAGGGGAUCGUGUCCAGGCCGGCUUCCUGGAGACACACCUGCGCCUGCACACACCCACCGCGGUCGCGUCACCAGUGCCGCGGCCACGUGGACGAAGACCAAAGUCUGGAGGGAAUUCCCUCAGCCACAAAGCGAUGGGAAAGCGGGACCCGGUGGAGACCAGAGUCUUGCUAUGCUUUCCAGGCUGGUUUUGAACUCCUAGCCUCAAGCGAUUUUCCUGCCUCAGCUUCCCAAAGUGCUGGGAUUACAGGCACAAGCCACUGCACCCGGCCCUGUUGUUGUUAAGAAAAUUACAAGUUAAAUCUUGUACCAGUGAACAAGAUUAGGGAUCGUGAUGUGGAGCUGCACUUCCUGGUUCCAAAUCCUGGCUCUUCCCCUCAUCCCUGGGUAAGUUGAGGGAUGAGAGCAAGAGAAGGUUGAUCCUGACUCAGAUCUCUGCAUGGGGCAUGUCACUGAUGACGGCGGCAUUCCCUGAGAGAGGGAACACUAAGUUUGAAGUUGGGCAUAGUGAGCACUAUUUUGGAUGAGUUAAGUUUAGAAGUGCCUGAAGACAUCCAAGUGGAAGAAGUGGCUGCAUGGACUGAAGAUACAGACUGGGAAACGUUAACACCAUCAAGGAACUGGAGUCCUGGGCACAGCCCUUCAAGACAGAGGAGAUUAUGGGGCUACUGAACGUAUCUUGGACUUUAGAGAAAGAAAGUGAAGCUGAGCUGAGAUCCAUUGGUUCUAUUUUGGAAAGAUGCACCCCGUGGCAUGACCUUCACAGCUCAGUUCUGGGGUCAAAGGAAUUUUCCAUUGCUCACACUGCCACCCAACUCUGGGGGCAUAAGUGUGGAAGUGGUACAGCACACAUGGAGAAGGGAUGGGAGGAGCAGGGGUGUGUAUCAGCUUAGCCGAUCCCCCGAGGAGCUGCCAAGCUUGCUACCCCAAGAACAAUGCCUCAUAGCUCUGUGACCUCUUCAAGAUUAAGGCUCUUUGAUCUCAGCCCUUCUGAAGUGGUUUGAACCAUAUUCUAUACAAAAUUGGUAACUCCCCCAUAAGAAUUGCUUUUUAAAUAUCCUGCUCUAUUUGAAAAAGGAAUUUUAAAAAUAAAGUUUACCCUUUUACUCUCUCCCAGCAAGUGAGAUAUUCAAAACAACAAAAAUUCCUCUAACAUGUUAUGAUGUGGAAACUGGUAUUUUACUGAUUUGUCUUUUCCACUUGGCUUCAAGUUCUUUGGGGAAUGAAGAUCAUAUCAAUCCCUAGCCGACCGCUUCAGGCACAACUGCAAAUGUUUCUUGAAUGAACUUCCAGGCUUACCUGAAUUCUAAGGGGGAUUUCCACCAUAAUGGGAAAGCCACAAGAAAACCAGCAAAGGGUUUAAAAAAAAAAGGGUGAAAAUAUAAGUUAUUUAUCGGGGGUUAUCACUUUAUGCAGAGAGCAUUCGAAACAAUGAUUUCCACAAAUGGGCAGCAACAGUAACAGCCAUACUAAGCCAUUGCUUUCUUUACUUCCUCUUGGUCUAGAAUAUGCUGCAAAGGGAGAAGAAGGAAGACGUGUGGUAUGGAAUCACCUAUGGAUAAGGUUGAGAACCAUGGGCUAGAUGCUAUGGAGACCAACGUAUCACUUACUAGGCUUUACUUUGUGCCAGGCACUGGAUUCGGCAUUACCCCAUUUAAGCCUCACUACCAUCCUUCAUGUUACUAUUCCACGUUGCCGCUCAGGAGAAACAAAAUUUUUUUAUUAAAUUCAAGUAACCUGAGGUCCCAUAUUUAGUAAGAGGCAGAGGAGUUAGAUGUGUCAAUAGCUAAAUUACAUGGCUGUGUCCUCUAGCUGGCCAGGGACUGACAACAUCAGUAUCACCUGGUGACUCUCCCAGGGGAGAUGUUUUUAAAAAUCUUUUCCAGUAAUUCUGUGCAACAUGGCAAUCUGAAACCAGUCUUUCAGACCUGGAAGUUCUUUAGAGACCACAGGACUCUCUUUGAUAUUUUUUCUUUUGAAUUUUUUUAAAAUACAGAAUCCUUUUUCAUGUUCUCUGUUUAUAAAACAACUGCAUGUCAAUUACAUUAUUUUUUAGAAGAUAGGUACAAGAGCCAGGCGUGGUGGCUCAUGGCUGUAAUCACAACACUUUGGGAGGUCGAGGCAGGUGGAUCAUUUGAGGCUGGAAGUUCGAGACCAGCCUGGCCAACAUGGCAAAACCUGUCUCUACUAAAAAUAUAAAAAAUUAGCCUGGAGUAGUGGUGCAUGUCCCAGCUACUCGGGAGGCUGAGGCAUGAAAAUCGCUUGAACCCGGGAGGUGCAGGUUGCAGUGAGCCAAGAUCGCACCACUGCACUCCAGCCUGGGCAACAGAGCAAGACUGUGUCUUGACAGCAACAAAAAAAGAAGAUAGGUAUAGGAAUUAAAAAGAAAGCAAAUAAUUACUGGUAGCCUGACCACUAAGAGAUAUAUACUGAUAUUUUUUUUGCGGGGGGUGCAUCUCCUUGCAGGCCUUUUUGUAUGUUUAUGUUCAAACACAUUUGUAACAACAAUGAAUAAAAAACGCAUAAUAUUCAAUGA
rnacentral:lncRNA from 1 species